CCUGAGUAGCUAAGCUGAAACACAGAAGAAUUGAGUUGAAGAUUCUCCUCUCCAGAUUUUGAUUUGCUCGACGAAAUGAAGAGUUGAUGCUGAAGAACUGGGGAUCGAAGAAAUAAAAAUCGAAGAGCUGAAGGACGGAAGCUGAAGAACUGAUUUCAUCAAAUUUGUUUACUAGAGGAAUUGAUAUUCAAGCAGUUAACGUUGUUAUCAAUUCUGAUUUUCCUAAGAACUCAGAAACGUAUUUGCACAGGGGAAAUGGAGGUGAUCAAAUUUGAAGUGGAUGAUGAAGAGUUUUUGAACUAUUG